AUUUUUGCCUCACCUGGUGUUAAUGGUUGUUUCCAUGCUCUACCAGUGCAGGACUGGGACUGCCCUCCCUCCACAGCACGCCUGUGUUUACUUCUGCUAGUUUGGACCCAAGUUGCUCCUCCAGCUUUCAGCUGUGACCUGGGGUGAGAUCUGAGCAAGGACUUUGACACUUCCAAGUCAAGGAUGGGAAACCCAGAGCAGGCGCCUGAGCUUGCACAGCACCUCAGAUGCAAGAUGGGCAGCGCAAGCGUCCUCAAACUGCCCCGCCAACGUGCUUCAAUUCUGAAUGAGAAGGACCAGCUUUCUGGGUGAGAAAGGAGUCUGUCUCUAUUCAGUCUCUGACCCCUCUGCUCAAGGCUGUUAAUGAAGGGGCCUCAUUAACACCAAAGACAGGGGUCAAGUUUGGCCAAGUGAUGUAAUGGUCUGUGCUGUGCCAAACCUGCCAGCCGGCUGGACCUGCCACGGAGAGCAUUGCACAAGCUGGAUUUGCCCAGCACUGAAUACGAGCUGCUGGUAGAAGUGCAGGCUGGAGAAGAUGGGCCCAGGCAUCUUAUGUGCCCAUUGAAGCAAACACA